CGCCCACAAUCAGUUGAUGAACUACAGUUCCCGACAUGCCCCAGCGAGCCGUGUUUUCUUGACCACGAGGGGCCACCCUAGAGUUAGUUGACAUUGAUAAUGGUGGGAGUGAAGCGCGUAGAUGUUACCGAGACGAAUUUAGUACAACUUUUGUCGUCUGUCAGAGAAAAGGGAUAAUCCUUCCGAUUUCCCCCGUAACUAUUGCACCCAGAAAGAAAGGGGCUAAGUAGCAAACGUCUACUAUCCAAAGAGACGCUGCUAUGUAGCCAGUUAAUUUGGAUUGUGGAAGGAGCGGUUUACUUAGCUCGCAAUGUAAAGCUGUGGCGAAAAAGAGACUUUUUUUUUUUUUUUUUUUACUGUUUUUAUGCGACGGAUUAGCUGGGAAAGGGGAGUCAAACCAAGAGUUUCGUGGAUAUCCCUACAGGCGGGAACCUAUCCCUACCGACGCCCGGUGAAUUAGUCUUUCAUCGGCGCUUGCCUGCCCCUCGUCCCCCGCCGAGGCUGCAGCUAAGCCAGCCAGCCCGGAGAAAAGGACAGCAGAGCCGGGUACCGACUGUGGCUUUGCUCGAGUGACAAUGCUUGAAAUUAUGGCUGAGCAUCAAGAUACACUUCUAAAAUGCAAAACAGAGCCUCUGCCCUCGGAGGGGAGGAAGAGGACAGUGGAAGACUUCAACAAGUUCUGCAGCUUUGUACUGGCCUACGCUGGUUACAUCCCUACUCCUAAAGAGGAAACCACCUGGUCCCCGGCCUCUUCCAGUUCCUCGGGGGCUUCAGGGGAAGGGGACGGAGCAUCGGACUUGCAUACCAUCCACACCUUUGUGCGCAAAGCCCGUGUGAACAAAGGCAAGAACCUUCGUGGAUUGCAUGAGGGUGGCCCCCUGCUGGACAAGAUGCGCCUGAAAGACUCGCUGUAUGGGGGCCACGGCGGGGGAAAGACAGAGCGCAGGAAGGAGAAAAGGCUAAAAAAGCUGACUCUGGGGGCAAGUGAAGCGGACAGGGGGGGCAGCACUGGGGGGAAGCGAGCUCGGAUCAAGCACAGUCAGAACCCAAAGUCUCCUAAGUGUCCAAAGAAGCCGAAGAACUCCGCUCAGAGUGAGACAGACUCUGAGGCGCCGCCCGUCAAGCAGGAGGAGCGCACAGCAGCGGAGGCGGCGGAAGAGGGGGAUGUCGGCCCUGAGGUGCAGGUGCUGGGCGAGGAGUCGACCAGGGAGGCAGAGGCGAGCUCCAGUGAGGGCGAGACCUGGAUCGCGGACGAGGACAUCAUGGUGGAGUCUGGUGACGACUCAUGGGACUUGAUCACCUGUUACUGCGGAAAGCCGUUCGCCGGACGUCCAAUGAUCGAGUGCAACCACUGCGGGGUGUGGGUGCACCUCUCCUGCGCCAAGAUUAGAAAGUCCAACGUGCCCGAUAUCUUCUACUGCCACAAGUGCAGGGACUGCCGCCAGGACAGACGUUCUGGGCACAAGAAAGACACUUAAAAUGUGGGAGGAGUCGUCCUGCCGCGUCGUCCCACCCCUUUACCUUGGGGGUAGAACAUUCCCCUUUGUGUUCUAAAGUGGUCCUUUUUUCAGAGGAACUUUUUCAUCUCCAGUGCUAAGUAUUCCCAGAUCUUUGUUGGAAGCUCCAUGGUUUGUUCUAUUGUCAAACUGAAGCUCUAAACUAGUUUAAAUUGGGGGGAGGGAGGGGGGGGGACCCACAAUCUCAUUCGCAAUGUCUCAUUGUGGCUUUCACUCAGCAAGGCAUGGUCCGAAACUCCAAAAACCGGAAAUCCUGACUUGAAAAUCACAAUCAGAAGACUGCAUUGUUUAAGCUUUGCGGUACACGAGUUGCUGGUGUGCUACAUAGCUCACAUACUAUUGUUACAUCCAAUGAGAUUUCUGGAAUAGACACUGCAUUUGAACAUGGGCAUUUAUAGAAAUAUAUCAAAUUAUUUUGAGCUGCAAAUUUUCAAGAUAUGCCUUGUUGGGGAAAAACAAAUUUUCAUCCGUAUAAUCUUAUUAGAAUGAUGACCAAGAUAAAGCCAGAAUCUCAGAAGUCUGUAACCAAAGAUUAUAAAUUUCAUCCACAGGAUUUGCUGUGUUUAGUUCAUAAACUUGUUAUAAAUGCAGCAUAAACUCCUUAUAAAUGCAGUUUCUCCAGGAAUGGUUUGAGUAAACCGUUUGUAAGGUUCCUCAUAUUUUUCUGCACUUGGGUUUUUUUUUUCCUUUUGAUUGGUAAACAUUGUCCACCCACCCAGAAAUGUCACCAAAACUAACUUUUUAUUUGUGAUUGUUAGUGUUUGUGCUUUUGUUUCCUCCCUUUCCCCCUAUUCAGAAGUUUUAUUAGGUUUUUAAGUUCUGUGACUGGUGACUCUGCCCUUCUGCCAUGAAGGUGCUCAGGGCUGACCCCAUCACGUACGAGCUGGGAAACUGAUCUGUCCAUUGACGCUUGCCUCAGCAGCGUCACUGUCCUUCUCAGGGGAGGAGUCCAGCACCGCGUGUGAGCUGAAGGGUGCACCAUCUGCUGGAGUGACCCCCACCCCCCUCCCCCGAUUAUCCGAGGCAGGACUUUGAGUUCAGGGCCACGUGUGAAAAGUCGGAUUGGAAAUCGAUCCCAUUGCUACGUCAGUUUCAGCUGGUCUGCUCUCGCCUCAUGUUAUGCAAAUUCUGCUGAUUUGACAGGAUUGUAUCUUUUUGGGGUUUUGUUAAGAGAACCCGUGAGUUUUUCUAUUAUUUUACUGAUUUCCGUUUUUAAGGACUUGACCAGUACAGUGCUGCAGGUUGCCCCCAAAACAGAGACUGCAGGUUUGCCCCUGUCAAGCAUUAUUUUCCUUUUUUUUUUUUGUACAGAAAUGAGUGAUGCUACUGAAUUCAUGUUUUUUUUCUCUCUCCAUUUGUUUGGGGGGCAUGGUUUAGUUCCCCUAUGAAGCCUAUAACUGGCACUCCUUCCUUUGCAGUGCUCAUGACUGGAUAUAUUCCCCAUCCCUGCCUUUGAUCUGUACAUAUAGCGAAGUGAAGAAGUGGAAGAACAAUUGUUUUUGCCGUCUUUUUUUCUUUUGGUGGGAGGGUCGUGGAUUGUACUCAUGACAAUGAAUGCACUUGUCAGUUAUUUUUGAGUUAUUUCGUUUAUUUUGUUCCAUGAUGAAACCUAACAAUCACUGUAUUUAUGAAUACAUGUCCACUAGAGGGAGCAACGUUCAACAUUACGACAUACUUGUAUGACAUAAAUACAAAUAAAUAAUACAUUUUGUUGA